GCAUAGCUCAGUUGGCAAGAGCAUGGUGCUGAUAACACCAAGGUCGCAGGUUUGAUCCUUAUAUGGCAUAGCUACA